rnacentral:lncRNA from 1 species
CUAAUGUCAAUUAUGAAAAUGAUGCCUUAAAUUUACAAAUAUGACUAUUUUAUAUUUCAAAUCCGUAAAUGAAUAAAUAAAAUAAGUAGAAAAACAAAGUCAACUCAUUUCUUCAUGAUGGAGACAUGCACUCAUGGUCCUAAGAUUGUAAUUGUUGCAACCAAUCCCCAAGUGCGCCUGCGUCUGUUGAAGAGCAACCUACAAAACAAGUCCAC